CAGAAAUCAGUGCUAUGUGCUUAAGCUCCUCAAUAGCUAAGUUAUAUGGAAAUGGUUUUUGAUCGUGGCCUAUGGAGGUAAUGGAGGAGCAAACCUCUCUAAAAAAGCUCUGGGUUGGAACAAGGUGUUAGACGACCCGUGCUGAUGUUCAGCCUGGCUGGGGACCCAGAUUAACAAAUAGCCCAGUCUCGAACGGAGUGCUCCGGAUACCUGGCGACCUCCGGUUCUAUCAAGCCUUACCUGCGCACACGGACCUCUGUGCGGGCGGACCUCCAUUGUCCGACACUCGUGGAACCAAAAUUAUGAGCGCAAUUUACAACAAAAAAAAAACAACACAACAAGGAGGACGGCCCUCCAAAAAAACCGACAGGGGUGGCUCCAAUUAAUGCUACAGCCUCGAGCAGGGCAUUUAUCGGACCGCCAGUGACAGGAGUUAGAGGGGGCUUAAGCGGUAGGGCUGGUCCUGGUACGAGUACCAUAGGAGGCAGAGGGGGGAGUGGAGGCUUGGGCAAACCGGUCUCCAACCGAUUCAUGGCUGGAGCUGCAGCGUCAGCUCCGCCUAGGGAAGUCAGACCCCAAUCCACACACACCUCAACCCAAGGGCGGGGUUCGGCACCUGCUUCGAAAAUAACCCGGCAGGAUGCUGCCGACAUUCCGAGCAGCUCGAGGAAAGUUGCAAACACAGGCCUGGGGGGGUCGGCUAAACAUGUCCGCCCCUCGAAGCAGGCCUAUUAUGACAAAAAGGCGGCCAUGAGGGUCGUGAACAAGAUCGGGGACCUGCCGACAGAGCAGCUCACGGAGGAGCAGGUUAGGUCACUGGAGUGGGCGAGGGGAGUAGUAGCCAGCUUGGGAAGACCGGCAGGCGCUGCUCCAAAAAGGCAGCGGUCUGCUGAACAGGCAGGGGGUGGGGUCACCAAAAGACCAAGAACAGGUGGCCAUAAAUACCCCACUUUCAGGGACGUAGUGAAGGGAGGCGGUGAGGUACUGGCAAUCAUCGACAGAGGGGAGGAGGAAGGGACUAUCCCCAAAGAGAAGUGGAAGUUGGUGGAGGAAGCGAUUGCCGAAAUCUACCUCCAAGUCCUAGACGAAAAUCCUGGACCUCCUCCUCUCUGCCAUGAUUCCGGAUGGUAUCAGGGUAGAGCUAAACUCAUCGCCUGCGAGGACCAUAGGUCAGCCCAGCUCUAUAGGUUGGCCGUUAGUAAGGUAGGUGAAGUUUGGCCGGGAGCCAAGCUCGAGGCCGUCAACAAGGAAGAUAUUCCUAGCAGACCGAGGGCUCGAGUUUGGAUUCCGGCCAGACCCGCCGAGCCUGAAAGAAUUGAGCGGAUCUUCAGAUCCUGUAAUGAGGACCUGCCAAGUCAUAAUUGGAGGGUAGGGAAGAUAGAGGAGCCAGUAGAGAAUAGAAGGCAGGUGUUGCUGAUCCUCAACGCCGAAUCGCUAGCCCCACUGGCGCAAAAGGAUUGGACGGUGAGAUUCGGGUUCAAUGACGCAACCAUUCGAAUCUACCGCAGCGAUGAGCCGAGCUUGGACCUUAGUGAGGAGAGCGACAAGUCCGGCCUGCGCAGCGGUGGUGAAGAAGGGUUGCCCAGCAGCCAAUGCUCAUCUGACUCGGAGAGGCUAUCCGGAUUGGGGCCAUUAUUCUAUGAAGAAGACCUCCUCGCCGAUGACACCGAGGGUGAGGAGAUCGAAGAGGCGGACGUGGAUGUCACGAUGGUGGAGGUAAAACGGACAGAUUCUGAUGAAGCUGAUCCAGAUCAACCUCCACCACUCUAAACUCGCGUCUGCGAACCUUGAGGUCCGCCUGGCUGCCGGUGGACUCGACGUUGCCCUCAUCCAGGAACCGUGGAUACACGGCAAUAAAAUCUGCGGGCUUGGGAUGAAGGGCUUUAAGCUUAUUGCCGCACAAAAUGCAGCUUAGUGACGGCGAUCUGGUAGUGGCAAGCAUUGAGCUGGACAAAACCAGCUUUUGGGUAGCCUCUGCCUACAUGGCCCAUGACAAGGA
rnacentral:misc_RNA from 1 species